rnacentral:rRNA from 1 species
UUACGGAGGCAGCAGUGGGGAAUCUUGCGCAAUGGGCGGAAGCCUAACGCAGCGACGCCGCGUGAGGGAUGACGGCCUUCGGGUUGUAAACCUCUUUCAGCACCGACGAAGCUAACGUGACGGUAGGUGCAGAAGAAGCGCCGGCUAAUUACGUGCCAGCAGCCGCGGUAAUACGUAGGGCGCAAGCGUUGUCCGGAAUUAUUGGGCGUAAAGAGCUCGUAGGCGGUUUGUUGCGUCCGUCGUGAAAGCCCACGGCUUAACUGUGGGUCUGCGGUGGAUACGGGCAGACUAGAGGCAGGUAGGGGAGCAUGGAAUUCCCGGUGUAGCGGUGAAAUGCGCAGAUAUCGGGAGGAACACCGGUGGCGAAGGCGGUGCUCUGGGCCUGUACUGACGCUGAGGAGCGAAAGCGUGGGGAGCGACCAGGAUUAGAUACCCUGGUAGUCCACGCCGUAAACGUUGGCCGCUAGGUGUGGGGUUCUUCCACGGAUUCCGCGCCGUAGCUAACGCAUUAAGCGCCCCGCUGGGAGUA